AGGGCGAACGCUGGCGGCGUGCCUAACACAUGCAAGUCGAGCGGGGACAUGCGACGGAUAUGAAGUUUCGGAUGGAGUUGAAGAUGUAUGUUCUAGCGGCGGACGGGUGAGUAACGCGUGAACAAUCUGUCCUUCACAGGGGGAUAACACAGCGAAAGUUGUACUAAUACCGCAUGAGACCACGGUGAGGCAUCUUACAGGGGUCAAAGGAGCAAUCCGGUGAAGGGUGAGUUCGCGUCCGAUUAGAUAGUUGGUGAGGUAACGGCCCACCAAGUCGACGAUCGGUAGCCGACCUGAGAGGGUGAUCGGCCACAUUGGGACUGAGACACGGCCCAAACUCCUACGGGAGGCAGCAGUGGGGAAUAUUGGGCAAUGGGGGGAAACCCUGACCCAGCAACGCCGCGUGAGGGAAGAAGGUUUUCGGAUCGUAAACCUCUGUCCUAGGUGAAGAGAAAGAGACGGUAGCCUAGGAGGAAGCCCCGGCUAACUACGUGCCAGCCGCCGC
rnacentral:rRNA from 1 species